GGCGAGCGGCGCUUCUCCCGUGCUGUGGCUCACGCUUUGGUACUGGAGGCCGAGACUCUUCUGGCGACGGCGACCUCUGCGGCGACGGCUGAGGCUCUCGG
rnacentral:sRNA from 1 species